rnacentral:misc_RNA from 1 species
AAAAAUUUCAAUUUUCUCGCGUUAGUCUCGUGAAAUUUUCCGGGAAAGCAUUGGCAAGUAAACUACACGAUCCCGAGAAAUGCUACAGUUAGCUUAACCAGCUACGCUUAUCAAGCCUCUUGUCUUCUUCUUUCUUUUCAGUCUUUGAAAGCGCAGAAACUGAGCCCAUGAAAUGAAAUCGAGCAAGUAAACUCUGGAAUUUUUUCUUUGCUUGAUUUCCUCCGGAAAAGUGAAUUCUGAUCUCGAAUUGUGAUUCAAGAGAGAGACUUUAAGUUGUAUGCUAAACUGGCAAGCGGGUCUAUGGUGAAUUGGGUUAUGUGUGUAAGCUUGCAUUUUUCUCUUUGGAUGCCAAGAUGAUGCUGUCAAAAAUUGGUUCUACUAAUGGUGAUGGCGAUGGAAAUUCAAAUAAUGUUCAAUUGUUGCGUGACAUUGAGGCAAUAAGCAAAGCCCUAUACCUGCAGAAAACCCCACAAAAAGCUUUAAUUUCUCCAUCCUCUGUUCGAUCUAAAUCAGUUGAGAAACCUCGGUUAUCAGAAUCAAAAUCAAGCCUGCACCCAAGAACUGUUGAUACAAGGGUGACGUAUGAGAACAAGAAAUUAUCAUCAGUAUGGAAUUGGAAGAAUCCCUUAAAAGCUUU